rnacentral:rRNA from 1 species
AGUGGCGGACGGGUGAGUCAUGCUUGGGAAUCUGGCUUAUGGAGGGGGAUAACUACGGGAAACUGUAGCUAAUACCUCGUACAAUAGGAUGAGCCCCAGGGGGAUGAGGUAGUUGGUGAGGUAAAGGCUAACCAAGCCGACGAUCGCUAGCUGGUCUGAGAGACGGACCAGCCACACUGGGACGGAGACACGGCCCAGACUCCUACGUGAGGAAGGAGUGGGGAAUAUGGCGCAAUGGGGGAAACCUGACGGAGCAAUGCCGCGUGAAGGAAGAAGGCCUGCGGGUGGUAAAGUUCUUUCGGUAGCGAGGCGUUAACUACAGAAGAAGCACAGGCUAACUCCGGGCCAGCCGCCGCGGUAAGUC